rnacentral:rRNA from 1 species
AAUUUUUUAUAAAAUUUUAUCUUAAUAAAAAGUGAAAUUAGAUUAUUAAAUGUAAAAUUUUAUUAAAUUUUAAUAUAAUGAAGCUUAAAAAAUUGAGGUAUGAAUUAGGAUUAGAUACCCUAGUACACUUUAAAUUAAUUGUAAAAAGACUAGAAUACUAAAAGUUAUAUUCUUUAAAUUUAAAAAAUUUGGCGGUAUUUUAGUCUAGUUAGAGGACCUGUUUUUUAAACGACAAUACACGCAUUAUCUUACUUAUUCUAGUAAUCAGUUUGUAUACCGUCAUUAUAAGAUAAUUUAAGAGAGAAUAUUAUUAAGAUCAAUAUUAUGUGAGUAUAUUAGAUCAAGGUGCAGCUAAUGAAUAAGAAAAAAUGGGUUACAAUAAAAAUUAUUUAUACGGAUUUAAUAUUUAAAUAUAUUAAUGAAGGCGGAUUUAAUUGUAAAAUAAAAUUAAUAGGUUUU